GUCUAUUGGCAUACUACCCUGAACACGCCCAGUCUCAUUGGGUCUCAGAAGCUAAGCAAGGUUGGGCCUGGUUAGUACUAGGAUGGAGAAAGAUCUUCAAAGGGACUGCUCAGAGACAAGCAGUUUGGAGACA
rnacentral:rRNA from 1 species